ACCCUUGUGGAGGAGGACGCCGAAGGUGGGGCUAAUGACUGGGGUGAAGUCGUAACAAGGUAGCCGUACCGGAAGGUGCGGCUGGAUCACCUCCUAACAGGGAGACAACAAAAUGUUUAAUAUUAUUUUGUCACCUUAGGUCGAUCGGUAUCUCACAUUCUUAAAUCUAUUAAGAAUUUCAUUUCCUAAGUUUUUCUAGGUCACACCCAUUAUUUUUCCUGGGCCAUUAGCUCAGGUGGUUAGAGCGCACCCCUGAUAAGGGUGAGGUCCCUGGUUCAAGUCCAGGAUGGCCCAUAUCUCUAUGUUGGGGGUAUAGCUCAGUUGGUAGAGCGCCUGCUUUGCAAGCAGGAUGUCAGCGGUUCGAGUCCGCUUACCUCCACUGAUUACCACCUCUUCCAUAAUCUAAGGAAAUGUUUUGAGUUGUGAUCAAAUUCUGAACGAAUCUAGCUUCCUAAUGAAAUCAUUAAGAUGCUGGACUCAUUGAAUUAAUUUCAUUGUUUUCAGAGAACCUUGACAACUGCAUAGAUUAUUUUUAAAGACAAUAAGCAUCUUUAAUGAUGCAGAUUUAUUAUUUGUGCGAAUGCAUUAAUAACAAUUCUAUUAAGCUGAUGCUUCAAUUUUGAAGUUAUUGGUCAAGCUACAAAGGGCUCACGGAGGAUACCUAGGCACACAGAGGC
rnacentral:misc_RNA from 1 species